rnacentral:rRNA from 1 species
GACGAACGCUGGCGGCGUGCUUAACACAUGCAAGUCGAACGGAAAGGCCCUGCUUUUGUGGGGUGCUCGAGUGGCGAACGGGUGAGUAACACGUGAGUAACCUGCCCUUGACUUUGGGAUAACUUCAGGAAACUGGGACUAAUACCGGAUAGGAGCUCCUGCUGCAUGGUGGGGGUUGGAAAGUUUCGGCGGUUGGGGAUGGACUCGCGGCUUAUCAGCUUGUUGGUGGGGUAGUGGCUUACCAAGGCUUUGACGGGUAGCCGGCCUGAGAGGGUGACCGGCCACAUUGGGACUGAGAUACGGCCCAGACUCCUACGGGAGGCAGCAGUGGGGAAUAUUGCACAAUGGGCGGAAGCCUGAUGCAGCAACGCCGCGUGCGGGAUGACGGCCUUCGGGUUGUAAACCGCUUUCGCCUGUGACGAAGCGUGAGUGACGGUAAUGGGUAAAGAAGCACCGGCUAACUACGUGCCAGCAGCCGCGGUGAUACGUAGGGUGCGAGCGUUGUCCGGAUUUAUUGGGCGUAAAGGGCUCGUAGGUGGUUGAUCGCGUCGGAAGUGUAAUCUUGGGGCUUAACCCUGAGCGUGCUUUCGAUACGGGUUGACUUGAGGAAGGUAGGGGAGAAUGGAAUUCCUGGUGGAGCGGUGGAAUGCGCAGAUAUCAGGAGGAACACCAGUGGCGAAGGCGGUUCUCUGGGCCUUUCCUGACGUUGAGGAGCGAAAGCGUGGGGAGCGAACAGGCUUAGAUACCCUGGUAGUCCACGCUGUAAACGGUGGGUACUAGGUGUGGGGUCCAUUCCACGGGUUCCGUGCCGUAGCUAACGCUUUAAGUACCCCGCCUGGGGAGUACGGCCGCAAGGCUAAAACUCAAAGGAAUUGACGGGGCCCCGCACAAGCGGCGGAGCAUGCGGAUUAAUUCGAUGCAACGCGUAGAACCUUACCUGGGUUUGACAUGGAUCGGGAGUGCUCAGAGAUGGGUGUGCCUCUUUUGGGGUCGGUUCACAGGUGGUGCAUGGCUGUCGUCAGCUCGUGUCGUGAGAUGUUGGGUUAAGUCCCGCAACGAGCGCAACCCUUGUUCACUGUUGCCAGCACGUUAUGGUGGGGACUCAGUGGAGACCGCCGGGGUCAACUCGGAGGAAGGUGGGGAUGACGUCAAGUCAUCAUGCCCCUUAUGUCCAGGGCUUCACGCAUGCUACAAUGGCUGGUACAGAGAGUGGCGAGCCUGUGAGGGUGAGCGAAUCUCGGAAAGCCGGUCUCAGUUCGGAUUGGGGUCUGCAACUCGACCUCAUGAAGUCGGAGUCGCUAGUAAUCGCAGAUCAGCAACGCUGCGGUGAAUACGUUCCCGGG